rnacentral:rRNA from 1 species
GAUCCUGGCUCAGGAUGAACGCUGGCGGCGUGCCUAAUACAUGCAAGUCGAGCGGAGUUGAGAAGCUUGCUUCUCAACUUAGCGGCGGACGGGUGAGUAACACGUGGGUAACCUGCCCUUAAGACUGGGAUAACACCGAGAAAUCGGUGCUAAUACCGGAUAAUUUGUUUGACCGCAUGGUUGAACAAUGAAAGGUGGCUUCGGCUAUCACUUAAGGAUGGACCCGCGGCGUAUUAGCUAGUUGGUG